rnacentral:rRNA from 1 species
GACGUAGGGCGCGAGCGUUGUCCGGAUUUAUUGGGCGUAAAGAGCUCGUAGGCGGCUUGUCGCGUCGUCCGUGAAAACUUGGGGCUCAACCCCAAGCCUGCGGUCGAUACGGGCAGGCUAGAGUUCGGUAGGGGAGACUGGAAUUCCUGGUGUAGCGGUGAAAUGCGCAGAUAUCAGGAGGAACACCGGUGGCGAAGGCGGGUCUCUGGGCCGAUACUGACGCUGAGGAGUGAAAGCGUGGGGAGCGAACAGG